CGGACUGAAUCCAAAUUAAUAUGUAUACCCUUUGAAACUUUACCAGACUGAAAUUCAGAUUAAUAUGUAUGCCCUUCAGGGAUUUAUCGGACUGAAAUCUGGAUUAAUAUGUAUGUCCUUCGGAGCUUUACCAUAUUAAAAUUUAGAUUAAUUUGUAUGCCCUUUGGGGCUUUACCAGACUAAAAUUUGAAUUAAGAUGUAUACCCUUUGGGGCUUUACCGGACUGAGAUCU
rnacentral:lncRNA from 1 species